ACGGGGUGCAGCAGGCGCGAAACCUCCGCAAUGCACGCAAGUGUGACGGGGGGAUUCCAAGUGUUAGUGUUUUACACUAACUUUUCUCAAGUGUAAAUAGCUUGAGGAAUAAGGGCUGGGUAAGACGGGUGCCAGCCGCCGCGGUAAUACCCGCAGCUCAAGUGAUCUGGAGUUUUAUUGGGUCUAAAGCGUUCGUAGCUUGAAUCGUAAGUUCUCUGUGAAAUCUAACGGCUUAACCGUUAGGCGUGCAGAGGAUACUGCGAAUCUAGGGACUGGGAUGGGCCAAGGGUACUCUCGGGGUAGGGGUGAAAUCCAAUAAUCCUGAGGGGACCACCUGUGGCGAAGGCGCUUGGCUAGAACAGGUCCGACAGUGAGGGACGAAAGCUAGGGGAGCGAACGGGAUUAGAUACCCCGGUAGUCCUAGCCGUAAAUGAUGCAGACUAGGUGUUGCAUUCCUCUAGAAGGGAUGCGGUGCCGAAGGGAAGCCGUUAAGUCUGCCACCUGGGAAGUACGGUCGCAAGGCUGAAACUUAAAGGAAUUGACGGGGGAGCACCACAAGGGGUGGAGUCUGCGGUUUAAUUGGAUUCAACGCCGGAAAUCUCACCAGGAGCGACAAUAGGAUGAAGGUCAGGUUGACGAUCUUACUCGACUCAUUGAGAGGUGGUGCAUGGCCGUCGUCAGUUCGUGCCGUGAGGUGUUCUGUUAAGUCAGACAACGAACGAGACCCACGCUGUCAGUUGCUAAUUUCUUCUCCGGAAG
rnacentral:rRNA from 1 species